UUCAAAAUUUUCAGAAAAAAGGGUGAGUAGGUAGAGAUAUUUUGAAAAAUUUAUGGAAAAAUUAACAUUUAUGGAAAAUCUAUACAUACUGAUAUAAAGCGCUUUUAAAACUAUGAAACUUUUAUUCGGAACAUUUUUUCAUAUCUCUCAUCCUUUCGAGGAUAUUCGAUUAGAAACAAAAAAAAUCGAUAUUUUUCGAAGAUAUGUUUCCAUCUCUAAAAAUGAAUAUUAGUCCGAAUAAAAAAUUGUUACGUUAUUAGGUCUACUGUAUUAUACAAAAUUUCAGAUUUUUUUGAAUUUGACAGUCGCCGAUGUUCGCUUGUUAGUUUGCUGGCAGGAAAGAAUUUUUAUGGAGAACAAGUGAUAAAUAACUGUAAAACUAUUUAUAUCGCAUCAUAAAGGGUGAUUAAAGUAGAUCGACCGCGGUUUUCAUGGGUUUGCCAUCGACAAGAUGAAGCAGUCUCUCUUCCUUUCUCUUUUGCGUUUAAUCGCAACCACGACACCGCAGCGAGCUCAAAGGGGCCACAUUGCCUUCCAUGAACGUCAGCAACGUACGAAUAUUCUCGCAAAAGCGCCGUAAGCGUUUCUGAUGCAUGGAGAAUUUACAUAGGAUGUCUUAGAUAUCUGUUACCCAAUUAUAUGCAAUCUUAUUUAGAAUUUUAACUAAAAAAUUUUAUUUAGGAUAGAUUUCAAAGUACCUACUUAGUUAUAGAUUUGUCCGCGGUUCAGAAUAACUUAUAUUCUUUCCGAUAUCUCUUUAAAACUUUAAUUUGUGUCUUGAAUUAUUUUUUAAUCUAUUCUGAACUAAUAUCUAUUACAAUAUCUAUAACAAUAGGUCAAAUGUGUAUGUGUCUGUGUGUGUAAAUCAAUGCUGAUAUUGAAAUUAUCGAUAAUCAUUGCACCAUAACUUAAAAGGAGAAAGUCCGGAGAUUUCGAAAAUGACAAAUAUUUGUGAUAGUAGAAACGACUUUUUAAUAAAGCACUUUUAAAUCACGCAGUUACGACGCAGAUAGUAAGAAUAAUGCACUUGGCCUUGAUUUUCAAGACUUUGAACUCGAAGACACUUUGUUAUUAUUAAUUAUCCUUGACGUUACAUUGUGCAGGUGCCUUAUUAUAAUAAACCCGCCGAAGGAAGGCGAACGUUGACGUAGUGAGCACGGCCACGCGUUAAUCCCAACUGUUAUCGCUCUGGCUAAGUAUAACGAGGUCCUCAAAUGGAGUAACAAAGUCACGGGCUGGAAGCCCGCGAAAGCUGUAGAACCAACCUUGCCCAUGAUUAUACAGAGACGCAAUGUUGCCGAAAGUCUUUAUUUCCUGAUACUUAUUUUUAUCCAUCGGGAAUACGGGAGCGGUUCAUGAGAUCACGCGAAAUUUACGGUGGCAAGUAAACGGCGUAAACACCUGCGGAAUAUAAUCCUGGGAAACAGCAGUUAAAGUGAAGAAACAAAAGUUCGCGGGGUGGAAGAGAAGGACGGCUAAAAACGUCGUCGAUCCGCGGAUGGUGGACGUCACCCUUGAGUUUAUUGCGACGUGUAUUUUUAGCGACGAGUCUCUCUCUCUCUCUCUCUCUCUUGGGCCGCUUCCCGUGUCUCCUUCGGCCCCGCAGCCGAAAUCCACCGCGCGCGUUGCGCGCUUUGCGUAUGUACGAGCGUACGCGCGCGCACAUAUUCCACGUACAUGCCGAUAAAUAUACUCGGCCAAAUAUUUAGAGAGCUCCACCGCCCACGGCGACGACGGCGGCGGUUAAAAUUACUUGAAUAUUCGUCACGGAAUUCGUCGUAAAACGAUCAUGGAGACCGAUCGAUCCUCCGCUCGUCCCCCGUUGGCGGUGGCAAAGGACGAGCAGAGAAUCGCUUCGCAAAGCGAGUUCGACGGUUCCUUUCGACGGAUCGAUGGCUCGCUUUGUUAGCGGCGAAUGCCUGUUAGCGACAGUAUCGACGAUGUAGCCACUGAUUUCCCCCGUUCUGCCCGUAACAACGAAUAGGACAAUGGGAUCCUCUACCACGGGGUGGAGAACUACCGGGACAUUAUCCCAUCGACCAAAGUGCCCCUUAACGAACGUCGCGCUCGAUCCACCGUGUUCGAUGACCAGCGCGAUCACGUAUGGGAAAUUGGCGUCCGGAAACGGAAACUGAGAGUAAUUGACUUGGGUUCCUUUUGUUGUUUCCGAAAGCAGCAGGAAUCUUAGGUCUCACGGUUCACGUUGAUUGACUACAUAAUCGGAUGAAAGUCUCGGUUGCCCCCGCGUAAGACUGGACGGUAGUGAUUUAUUGGCUCUCCGGCCUCUGAAAGACUUCCGCGGCGUUUGAUAAAUUGCCGGACCGUCGGGUUUCGAGUCCAUGAACGCGAUUUUUCGCUUCGCACGUCAAAUAGGCCUUUUCCCAUCGCUGCAACGUAAUGCGCGACCGUAAUGCAACCGCGAGCGUUUCACGGAUUGCUUGAAAUUCGGCACCCCCCGCGCCGCGCGGGGAAUUUCCGAAUUGAUCGGCCUUGUUCACGUGCGCAACGCUAGACAUCGGUAAUCGAUGAUGCCACCCAUACCGGUUACCAAUGUUAGCAUAUACGUACUCUCGACGACGUGGAGGACGUAAUAACGGCGAGGACGUCGGAGAGAAGCGAAUGACAGGCGUAACAGGUGAUACAAGCGCUCGCAGUGUCGCCGGAACCGCGGAUGCUGUGUAUUUGCGUGGUUAUUGGUGGUAAUAUCCCAUUAAUUUUCCAACUACACUCUUGCACCUUGCUGUCAGAUUUAAAGUGUUCACAACAACGCGCUCGUAAUGAAAUUAUUUAAUAGGUUCGAAAUAUCGCCCCAGAAUGGACUGAGGUAUUUAAAUCCGACACUGAUAAAUAUAAAUGUGCAGUUGUAAUAUUAACGCAAUAAAAUUUUAAUGAUAAAUGACAAAUUUAAAGCUGAUUUUUUCUAGAUGAACUGGAUUAAUAUAAUCUUCUUCUAUUUUUUCUUCAUCAUUAUAAAAAUAUCUGUUUAAGAUAAGUAUUUCAAAUAAUUUAAUUAUUCGCAGUUGUCUUAUCGAUAGAAAUGUCGAUAGUAAAUGUUAUGCCUUUUAUCGCUGAAGCUGUGCCAAUCUCUUUCAAACGAUUUUAUCAGUGAUUUUACUGCUAAAUUACUAGAGAAAGGAAAUGAAACAGAAAUUAUUUUCACAUUCAUCCGGAUUCAGCCGAGAAUCAUACCGCGAGCUCUGACAUGCUUUUGAUUAAUUAACGGUUUUACAUUUAUGUAAUUAGCAAAUAAGAUUCGCAAGAUUCGGAUUUGUAGUCAUAACUUUUCUGUAAUUUUAAUUUUAACGCGAUAAAAAGAAAAAAUACUUUUUAAAAAUUCAGGAAUAAAAUGUUAAAAUUGCUAUUAUAAAUAUAUUUCUAUUACUUUAUAGAGAAUUCUAUUACUUUAUAAUUGAAGCUUUAUUUAUUCUAGAAAUAUAUCAACAUAACAAAAUGUGCGUAUGAGAUGUGAUGCGAAUGGAUACGGCUUCUGAUUCUUUAGGUUCUUACAAUUUUCAAAUGAGAGCUGUACGAAUAAUUCGAGCUUAGCCGGCUUUCUAGCUGCAAUAACUGAGGACUAAUAUUUGGUGCUUGCGAACCGGAGCGAGAAUACUCCGAAAGAAGUGAUUUCUGUCUGAAUAAAUGGGACUCGCGUAUAUUGCAAUCUACCGUCUCUACUCCGUGGAAAAAUGCUUCGAGAAAAAUUCUUUAAAACCAUGGAUAUUAACUGAGAGAUGCGAGAUGUGCAAUUUCUUGACCUACAUUAUUCUAAUCGUCGUUAUUAUCGUAUCAUUAGCUUCUCUUUUCUUCUCUUGUACUGAGAUAUAUAUACCUCGUAACUAUCUCGAAAAGAAAUGUUACACAUACAAUGUUAUGAUAGAUCGCAUCCUAGCAAUACCAAUAAAAAAUAAACAUCGCACUUUUUUCGGACAAAGAUAACACGAGAUACGAGAUCUCGCGCAGUCUUUUCUCCACUGUUUAUUUGCACGGAACGAGCGAAUCCUAUCUUUCGUUCAAUAAAAUACUCGUUCGGUCAGGCAGUCCAGAUGUCGAUGUUGCCACCGAUGCGUACAACUCGUACAUUUUUACAUGUCUGACACGUGUGUGGAGAGCACGAUCAAAAGCAACACGAGACUUUGACCACGGAGUGUGCACAAACCGGCGAUUAUACGUACUGUCAAAGGAACUGCGCUGUCAAACAAUCCGGAUUGCGCAAAACACCCCGUCCAUCAUGCGAGUGCUAGCUGCUGGAGACUAGCGGAAGAGCAGUUUCAGGACAUGAACCCGCGGGAGUGUCUGAGUAAACUAAUCGUUGCAAUGGAUUUACGAUCGAGUGGAGAAGUAGCAUCGUUGAGGAUGAAACUGCCCUUUCGCUCGAGUCAUCAGCUCGCGUUUACGCGCGGCCGAAUGGAGAUGAGAGCACGAGAUAUCAAGUUUAUAUCGCGGAAGAGAGUGGAACGAGACGGAAAGUAGUAUGACGACUGCGUGUGCACGCGUCGGACGUCAGCAUUUCCUUUCCCGGGAGGCAGUAGGGGUAAGUCUAAAAUUAUCGGCAUAUUUAUAUCGUUGAAAUCAGGAAAGCAAGCUCUACAAGUCGCGGAAUGAAAUAAGUUCGCGAACUAAAGCUCCUUAAAUUAUUUCGAAGGCCGGUUAGCGUAACGCGGCGGCGAGUCCGCGUUUCCACCAACAAGUCGAGAAAUUUUACACAAAUUAUGUUUGUAUCUGAAAAUAAGAAUUGCACAUGUACACGCUCAAAAUGUGCGUUAUGUCACGCGUAAGAUCCUGUUUGACUAAAUCUGUCCUUGCCUCAAAUCGACUGAAAGACGUAUUUUGAGAGAACCAUCCGCGAUAUCUCUAACUUUCGUCUUCUAGCGAAAUGGGUUUUUUGGACUCACAGUCUUCUACUUCUUAGAGAUUUAUGACACACUGCCAAUUGCUGCUCGCUUUAACGGUCUGGCACGAGAAGAACGAAAGACGCCGUUCAAUCUAAUUUCGGCACGAAUUUCAAGUUCGAUUUCGCUAUCGGAAUUAACGAGAACCGCACGAAAUGCAAUCCCGCAGAAGUGGCCGUUUCGCCGUCACUUCAACGUCAAUUGAAAAUCACGAUUGGCAUCAACGCUAAUGCGCGCAGCUCCACGACCAAUAAAAUUCUCCGUCGAGGUUUUACGAUUAUUAACCUUCUAUCUUGAGAGACGGCGAUAAAAACAAGAAUCAUGGGCAUUGUCUCUUCGUUGGAAUUGCCCGGGACUGCUACAAAUAAAGAUAGCGUUCACCCUUUCGCGCGGUAACUCUCACCCCUUCUUUCAAUUCUCUCUAAAGCUAUAUAAAAGAGUGUCCGUUAACAUGUAACGUUUCCUUUCGAGUUUACAACCGUUUAUGUUACAAAGCACUGCAAACACAGCUAGGCAAUGACUUGUAUCGCAGUUUACUAGUUCCAGUUUACUUUGUAGAUCGAUCACAAACUGGCAAAGUGUAUAGUAGAAUCCGGCGGCACCGAAACUUACGUUCGCUUAAUGGACUACUCCUGUAACAACCAAUGAUGCUGCCGCUAGCAAAACAUUCAUGAACGCAAUUCAGUCGACUGGGAUUGAAAUACAUCUCGCAUAAAAUUGAUGCGUUCAAUCCGGUAGUUCCGUAAUCGGCCGGAAACGAUGUCCGUAAACGAUGUCCGUAAAACGCUUCGUUGCAAGAACAUAAACCGAGCAUCGUUAUCGUUUCUCGAAACGAUAACGGCGUGUUAAUUCUUUCCGCCGUGGUGCGCGUUAAGUGAGUCUCAUUUCACGUUUACGACAAUUCGCAACGCGCAAGUAUCACCUGAUUAUGCGAGACGACCUGAAUUGACGCGGCCGAGAAUUAUGCAAAUACCGGACACUGUAUAAUUUGCACGCUGGAUGUCAUCUCCUAACUACACAAGAUCGAUACACGCUGCUUUACGAUAUUGCCGAGGUGCACUGUGCGCAAGCAUAAUGGCCAACAACGUAUUAUUCGCAUUACGACCCCGUGAAAGCAGACAGCGCCGACCUUUAAAAUUUUUACUUGUCGCUCGUGGGUCGCCCUAUUUCGCCUGUUUUUCCUGCCGUGACAGCGAGGUAAAAAAUUCAUGUUCUUUGUAGCGCAAUUUUUGUAGCGCGGAUCUGAUGUAAAAGCAAUGCGACAUUAUAGAGCGCUUUGGUGCCGCAAUGUUCGCCGCACCAGCGGGCUUUAAUACAUAUGGCUAUCCACGAGAAACAAAUUCACUUGCCGAUAUAACUUCCGCGUGGAUUUUAACUUUCAACUGGAGUUGGCCGAUGGAUUUCCGCUGAGUUUCGAACCCGGCUACUGCCGGAAGCCGGAUUACGGAAAUUAUUUAGCUGUGGAGAAUUGAUUCAGAGGCUUUAACUGGUAUACCUGGCAACUGCAAGUAUUGGCUAUUGAAGAAUCGCUAAAAUGAUUGAUCGAACCAAUAAUACGCAUUACCGACGCUGAAAUGAUCGCAAUGAAUUAACUGCAGUUGUGGGUGUAGCCAAAUGUCAGCAAUGACGGUCGCUCUAUAUCCGUACCCUUCAAUGACGUCCAACGUCAAAAUCGAACGAUCGCAAAAAUCAAGCGUGUGCAGGCUUGACCUGAUUUCGCCGUAAGCGCAUAACGAUGUAAACGCAAUGCUCUAAAACGCCGAAACGAGACGCCACCCGUGCAAUUCAGGCGCAGGAAGGCGUCUUAUGAGUUUAAGAUCGAUACGAUGCACGCUUGGUAAUUUUACCGCAAACACGUCGAUUAUUGUAAGCGCUGUUUCUCGGAAUUCAAGAACAUCAAAACAAGUUUAUAAGUUCCGUGAUUCGCUUGAAUUAAUUUACUUGCUUUCUGUAAACAAAUGAUAAAUAUAUCUUUAAAGUAUCUGGGAGACACAAUUAUUUAAGCACAUUACAUUAAGAUAUAGUUUUAAAAUGGACAUAAAACGUUUUGGAGAAACCAGAUAGAAGUUCAGAAAUAGUAAAAGUUAAAAGUAUAAUUCAUUGAAUGUUCAUUAAAAAAGAGAAUGUUUCUUAUAAAAUGUAAAUUCCAUAUGUUUAUGUAUUUUUAAUUAUGAUACAACGGUGUCUUUAUUAAGCAUGCAAGUUAAUAUAAAUACCAAGACUGUAUAAGAUGUGCAAGCUUAAAAAUAUUUGCACAAAAAAUAGAUAUAUCCAUAAUUGAAAAUUUUAAAACCGUGAAUUCUGAUGCUGACAAAGAUAGAACGUUACAUGUGACGCGAAUCUGUACAAUUUUUGCAAACACAAACUCUGCACACGAUAUCAUCCGUGACAGCAUCCGAUAUGUCUAUUAAAAUACAAUUCCACGCAAACAAUCAGUCAUAUAUGAAACUGCUCAAUCAAUUAUACGUAUAAAAACGA